ensembl:lncRNA
AUGGAGGUGAGAAGACAGCAGAAGAGCAUCUUUAAAGUGCUGGAAGAAAAAGAGCUGUCGAGCCAGAAUUCAACAUUGAGCAAAAACAUCCUUCAGGAAUGAAAGCAAAAUAAAGACAUUCUCAGCGACGGAAACUAGGAGAAUUUAUCAUCCGUAGUCCUGCUCUAAAAGAAUGCUAAAGAAAGUUCUUCAGGCUGAAAGGAUAUGAUCCCAGAGAGAAACUUGGAACUUCAGGAAAUAAGAAGAGCAACAAAAAGGCGAAGGGGUGGUGAUGAGGACGCAGGCUCCUGGCCCUGGGACUCGACUGCUGCUGAAGAAACCCCCACCGCCGCGCCCUUCCUGGUGACUUCCGAUACCCAUAGGGACGCUCGGCGCCCUUGCGGCGGUCAGAACUCGCGGGACGCUCGGUCCUCCCCCGCCUGGGGAACGCCGUUGACUAGGGGGCUCCGGCCUGCACCCUCCCGGACCGCCUGGUGAGGGACGGCUCGCCGUUGCUGCCUGGGCUGCCACCAGCCGGCUCCAUCUCUCCGCCCGAGUGCGUCUGCCCUAGGCGAGGGCGUUGCAGAGGAGAUCAGACCCGCGAAGGUUUCCAUCUUCCGGGUUUCCAUCUCGUCACUGGUCCCAUCUCAGUGAAAGCCAGCCAAGGGCGUCCACCUGCCCCUGAUCGCGCCACGGGAUCGGUCCCAGGGCCAGGAAAUUCGCCUUUAGCGGCGGUCCCCGUGGCAGCCCUGGUUCGGCGUUGGUUUUGACCCGGCCCUCCUGUCCACUGUUGCAGAAACGCUUUCAGGACUGGCCCUUGGGGCUGCGGGUCUUCGUGCGAUUCCUCCGAGACUCGCGGAGAUUCCUCCGAGUCUGCGCUUCCGCCCGGGCGCCCUCAUGCUGGCGCCGCCCGUCACCCUGCAGGCCUCAGGGUCCCGGAAUCACGGCACCCGCACCGAGCCUGCGCCGUAGCCCUCGUUACUGCUGCGGAGCGGAAGGCCUCGCCCCCCAUUCCUGGCCACGCCCCCUCUGUUCACCGGCCCCGCCUUACGCCCAACUGGCCCCACCCCCUUGGUGCCUCCGUUUCCCUGCUGUUCCCUGACCCCUCCCUUACAGUGCAGUCCCCGCCCCUAAGGUUAAGCCCCGCCCACGUCUACCUUUUCCCCGCCGCUCUAUCCCAGGCCCCAUCCACCCUCCACCUCCGGCCCCGCCCUGCAGUCAUUGGUCCCGCCCCUCCUUACCACACCUCCUCCCCCUGUUCAAGGGGCUCCUGAGGGGCUGAGAGUCUAGGUGUGCGACGCUUGGUCCAACACCUCUGCUUGCUUUCGCUCUCGGGUCCUGCGUGAAGCCGAGAGCCUGAAUGGGGAUCGUCCCGGCAGGGUAGCUCAGGUAUGUGGCUCAGGUUUCCGUAUCUCGGCAGAAUCUCGGGGGCUUCCUGGAUCUGAUCACGUGAAUGCGGGCUGCCCCUUCCUGUAGCGGCUCCCACUGGCGGGUCGGAACCUCGGGGCCUGCGGAAAGGGACAGAUCCCUCUCACCUCCUAGCUCUGCUCUUUCCGCAAUCUCAGCCUGCAGUCACACGUAGGGCCCUCACAUCGCGGUGAGUGGCCUGUAAUGCCCCGUCCGGAGGUCCCUCCCUUCUUGUGCCCACCAAGGUUUCCGGGGGAAGACUCCUACUCCUCGGCCCCGGGACCCCUGAGUGACCUACCUCAUGGGAGAGUCUAUCUCUUCCCAGGUUCCAGACCUCCAGACGCUGCUCUGCAUCGCCCCACAGGCAGUGGUGCUGCCCUGUACUAACCUUGAGCAGCCCAGGGCCUUCUUCCAUCCCAUAGCGCUCAGCUCUGGGGGCGGGCUUCCCCAACAGAUGUUCCUUAUCACAGCAUCGCCCCACAUCUGGGGCCUGGAGUUCCCACAGAGGCGGGGGUGGGAGAGGGCAGGGCAGAACAGAGGGCCGUGUUCUCCAAAUGCCUUCCCUUGGGAGGCCCUGUGAGGCUUGGGGAAACUGAGGCCCAGAAAUGGCGCUGCUUGGCGACCAGCAUGGCAGCAGUAGAGGCUACACAUCAGCCACUCCCUCUGGGCAGCCAGCCCCUGCCUGCCCCCAGAAAGAUCUGACAAGACUCAAAGCAUGUUCUCCCCAGGUUGCCUGAAGGAGGAUCUUCCCUUGUCCUCUGGCUAUGGGGCUACUCUUUAGAACACCCUAGUCAGCAUCCUUGAGGUAAAGUGGUCCUCUUGCGGUCUCUAAAUUCCCUUGGUCAUGGGGAAGGGGGAGGAGCAGCUCCCAAGAGUAACCAUAGCUAGUCCUGGGAGUUGGGGGUCUCCUGGACAUCCAGGAGCCUCCCACACUGCCUUCUCGCAGCUUUAUAUCUGUGGCCGCUAAAGUCCUGAAUGGAGGUGACGUGCGUCCUGCCCACUCUAGAGUCUCUCUAGCACCUUCCACUGAGUCCUUGCCCUUCUAGGCUCGUCUGCCCCCCAGGGACUAAGCCCCUCCAGACACUGGCUGGAGUGGGUCCCUAUCGCCUCACUGGGCUACAGGAACCCUGAUGGAUGGGUGGGCACUGGGCACACCUCAUGGAGGCAGGGCCAGGAGACCUAGAAAGCUCUGGUUCCAGGCCACAGAAGGGACCCAAAGCCUUUACCCAUCAGUCCACCCCCCAUCAGUAUUCCAACAAUUCCAGGCCACAUUACUGAAGUCAUGCUCUGCUCCAUUUAACCACAUCACUCCCCUUACCAUUGGGGGCGCCCCAUCUUUAAAAUAAAAUCCAAGAUCCACACCAUGGCCUAUGAGGCCCUGCUUGGUGGUCCAGCCUCUCUCCAACUCUCCCUUUUGCCCAUUACACUGUGGCCAAGAUGGCUUCUCUCUGUUCUUUGAACACACCCGUGUUUUUCUUCCUCUGGGCCUUUGCACAGGUCUUUCUCUCUGCUUGGAACUGGAUUGUAAGCCCUAUAAGAGUGGGGACUGUGUUUGGUUUUAUUUGACUCUGUAUCCCCAAGCAUUUAACCUAGUAAAUAAUAGACACUCAAUAAAUGCCAGCUGUAAUAGGUCUUAAUAAAUAAUUCUUGAAUCA